UUCUGAUUAUGUUGCCAUGGUGCUCCGAAA
rnacentral:piRNA from 1 species